UUAAUUGAAGCCAAAGAGAGGUAUCUUAUUGUUAAUAAGAAAAAUGAUAUAUUAUCCAAUUAAA
rnacentral:tRNA from 1 species